UGACCAGUUUGUCAUUCGAAAGACUACCUUAGCCAUUCAUAGUUGCUCCAUUUUAUCAGCAAAAAUAAACUGCCUUUAAAGUAGAGGUGCGCUGUAGACAGAAGACAGAAUCCACGGCUGUGUAUUGGAGCAAAGGGAGAAUUCCCAAAUUCAGGUCCGAAGAGAGGGAAUGAAGAAUCGAUCUUUCAGAGCAUUUCAGUCUGUAAUGCUGUUAGGGUUUCCACCCUUCGGACGAGCUGAAUUUAAAUCAAAAGCACGAAGAGGCCAUCAUGCAGUCGGCCUAUUGGUCUGUAGUUUAUUUACUUUAUUUUUUUUUCUUCCUUACAAAAUGUAAAGGAACUCCAGGACUGGAUGUUUAAAGUGUGUUAGAAACCACCUGUAUCUCAGAGGCUCGUUAGGAGCGGGGAAAACCACAUGGCGAUUAUGGAUAUUAUGGAAUCGACACGUGCAGAAAUGGCCAUGUUUUGGAUUUUAAAGUGACACCAAGUCACCUAAACAAGAGAAAACGACCCAAGAAAAAUAUUGGCUUCCCAAUUCGGCCCCUUCCCACCUCCCCCACCCCUCCCCUCCCCUUAGGGCGCCCUGAACAGAAUCUGCUUUCAGAGUCUCACGUACACAAAUUUGAGGAAGGGGGAUGUGGUUAAUCCCCGUGCGUGACGUAAAAUCGGGUUAAUCCCGGAGUUACAGAAUGAAUCAAUAAAAGUUCCACCACACCCCAUUAUCCCUUCCCUCUCCCGAAACCUCAGCAGAGGUACUGGGGAGGGAAAAGGGAGGAAAAGCCGAAAGAAAACAGGUCGUUCGGAACGGAUUGGGGCAUAGGUUUUAAUCUCUUUACACCUUCGUGCUACAUUUAGUUCCAACAAUCCAACGCCCACGGUUACAAUCAACCCCGCGGCCCGGGCUGGGGAGUUAGUCAUUCCCAGAAGUUGUGGCUCUUCCUGGGGGAGGGGGAGAAGGGGGCAGGCGAAAAAUGGGGGGUUCUUGGCCACGGGAUCGAUGAGCAAGGGAAGGCUCGGGGUGUCCGGGGCGUGCAGAGCCACCGGGGCCGCCCCUGCCAGGGACCUGUGCGGCGGCGGCUUUAGCGGCUGGUCCUGCUGGGUGCGGGGCGUCCCGGACGCUGGGGUCCCGCUGGGAUUCCCGCUGGGGUCCCCGCUGGGAUCCCCGCUGGGAUCCCGCUGGGAUUCCCGCUGGCUCCGUCGGAUCCCGCUGGGAUCCCGCCGGGCGCCUGGCUGCUGUUGGCCUUUUGAAUGCCUCCCGCAGGUCGGAGGGCUGGCGGGGCGCUGCGAGGAUCCACAUGACGCCAUUUACUGCUGCUGCUGCUGCUGCUGCUGCUCUUGCACAGAGAUCCCUGCCUCGUCCGGAAAGAAGAGAGCAGAAAGCGCCGAUCCCCCUCGGCUCCCAGCUCAGACCCUCCUCCUCCUCCUCCUCCACCACCCUCCUCCCUCCUCACCUCCUCCUCCUCCUCCUCCAGCACCAGCAGCACCAGCACCUCUGCCACCUCCUCUUCGUCGUCGUCUUCCUCCUCCUCCUGCAAAGAGAGAAGGAGCAGCAGGAGGUCCCGCGGCCGGCCGCCCCUCCGGAACGCGCCCGGGCUGCAAUCCGCAGCAGAGGCGGGGGCUUGGAGAGGGCGAGCGGAGGGGCGAGCGGGCGAGCAGCCCCCGCAGCAGCAGCAGCAGCAGCAGCAGGAGCAGGAGCAGGACCAGCCCGGCCCCCGCCGCCACCGCCUCGUCCGGGCGGGACCGCCCGCCCCCCGCGCCCCGGCCGCCUCUAGACCACUUUUCGGGAAGGAAACUCGGGGAUCGCGGUUUCACCUCCUUUUGUCGCCCGCUUUCCUCUCUCGGUCCUCCGACCCCCACCCCAGGCGGCGUGGGGGGGGGGGGGGGGGGAGGAGAGGGGAGGGUGAGAGAGGAGGAAGAGGAGGAGGGGGAGCGUCCAGCCUCCUGCUCAUUGAGAGAAAGAGGAAAUACUCCGGGCUCUGUUUUCUUCUUUCAGAAGGAGAAAAAGACACCCCCCCCCCCCCCGCCCCCAGCCCCGACCCGGAGGGGUGAUUAG
rnacentral:lncRNA from 1 species